rnacentral:rRNA from 1 species
UACGUAGGGUGCGAGCGUUAAUCGGAAUUACUGGGCGUAAAGCGUGCGCAGGCGGUUCGUCGUGUCCGAUGUGAAAGCCCCGGGCUCAACCUGGGAAUUGCAUUCGAGACUGUGUAGCUAGGGUACGGAAGAGGGAAGCGGAAUUUCAGGUGUAGCGGUGAAAUGCGUAGAUAUCUGAAGGAACACCAGUGGCGAAAGCGGCUUCCUGGUCCAGUACCGACGUUCAGGCACGAAAGCGUGGGGAGCAAACAGG